UUUAACUGAGCGUUCAGUUACUUGACGUAGACCCGAAACCGGGCGACCUACCCAUGAGCAGGAUGAAGCGAAAGUAAAAUUUCGUGGAGGUCCGAACCCACGAGCGUUGAAAAGCUCGGGGAUGACUUGUGGGUAGCGGUGAAAUUCCAAUCGAGCCCGGAGAUAGCUGGUUCUCCCCGAAAUAGCUUUAGGGCUAGCCUCAAGGUGAGAGAUACGGAGGUAGAGCACUGAAUGUCCUAGGGGGUAUUGCACCUACCGAAGACUAUCAAACUCCGAAUGCCGUCAUCUUAUACUUGGGAGUCAGACUGUGGGUGAUAAGAUUCAUAGUCGAAAGGGCAACAGCCCAGAUCGUCAGCUAAGGUCCCUAAAUGUAAGUUAAGUGGUAAAGGAUGUGGGAUUGCACAGACAACCAGGAUGUUGGCUUAGAAGCAGCCACUCAUUCAAAGAGUGCGUAAUAGCUCACUGGUCGAGUGAUCCUGCGCCGAAGAUUUCCGGGGCUAAAACUUACUACCGAAGCUACGGCAUCAGUAAUGAUGGGUAGGGGAGCUUCCCAUACGGGUUGAAGCAUGACCGUAAGGACAUGUGGACAGUAUGGGAGUGAGAAUGUUGGCAUGAGUAGCGAG
rnacentral:rRNA from 1 species